rnacentral:rRNA from 1 species
CCUUCGGGGUACUCGAGCGGCGAACGGGUGAGUAACACGUGAGCAACCUGCCCCAGGCUUUGGGAUAACCCCGGGAAACCGGGGCUAAUACCGAAUAUGACCUCUGACCGCAUGGUUGGUGGUGGAAAGUUUUUCGGCUUGGGAUGGGCUCGCGGCCUAUCAGCUUGUUGGUGGGGUGAUGGCCUACCAAGGCGACGACGGGUAGCCGGCCUGAGAGGGCGACCGGCCACACUGGGACUGAGACACGGCCCAGACUCCUACGGGAGGCAGCAGUGGGGAAUAUUGCACAAUGGGCGGAAGCCUGAUGCAGCGACGCCGCGUGAGGGAUGACGGCCUUCGGGUUGUAAACCUCUUUCAGCAGGGACGAAGCGUAAGUGACGGUACCUGCAGAAGAAGCGCCGGCCAACUACGUGCCAGCAGCCGCGGUAAGACGUAGGGCGCGAGCGUUGUCCGGAUUUAUUGGGCGUAAAGAGCUCGUAGGCGGCUUGUCGCGUCGACCGUGAAAACUUGGGGCUCAACCCCAAGCCUGCGGUCGAUACGGGCAGGCUAGAGUUCGGUAGGGGAGACUGGAAUUCCUGGUGUAGCGGUGAAAUGCGCAGAUAUCAGGAGGAACACCGGUGGCGAAAGGCGGGUCUCUGGGCCGAUACUGACGCUGAGGAGCGAAAGCGUGGGGAGCGAACAGGAUUAGAUACCCUGGUAGUCCACGCUGUAAACGUUGGGCGCUAGGUGU